AAAUUGAAGAGUUUGAUCAUGGCUCAGAUUGAACGCUGGCGGCAGGCCUAACACAUGCAAGUCGAACGGUAGCACAGAGAGCUUGCUCUCGGGUGACGAGUGGCGGACGGGUGAGUAAUGUCUGGGAAACUGCCCGAUGGAGGGGGAUAACUACUGGAAACGGUAGCUAAUACCGCAUAACGUCGCAAGACCAAAGUGGGGGACCUUCGGGCCUCACACCAUCGGAUGUGCCCAGAUGGGAUUAGCUAGUAGGUGGGGUAACGGCUCACCUA
rnacentral:rRNA from 1 species